AGAAAAACAAAGGGAAAGCAAGGAGGCUGUCGGCAUAAGGAGGUGCAUAAUAUGGCACGGAGGAAAAUAUUGCAAUUUCCUGCAUAAUAAAGCAUUUUUUGCAUGACUUUCAGGAAUUUCCUGUCCAUGCAACAUUUAAAUCCAUAAAAUAAAGAAAUUGGCUGUUAACGACUUCCGAUAGUACCACGACAAAUUAUCCCUCAACGUCUCAGAUUUUUUCUUACUUGUAUCUGCACUGUGACGUGGAGUUUAUAAGAUAUAGGCAAGUGCAUGUUAGAAUUUCUCCUUUCACCUCAAGGCAAUAAAUUAUGGAAGUUUCUGUACCUCCGUAAAUCACUGGCAAAUAUUCAAAUAAGGAUGUGUAUGAAAAAGUUGUGUAAGAUGACUGAACUCAUUAGUAGAGUAGAAUUUGUAUUGCUGAUUUGAUAAUUGAUUUAACAUUGUAAUCAAUUGGUGUAGAGACCGUGGACCAUGUCGACAAGGGCAAGCAAUUCUGACUGCCUACCAACAAGAGGUGGGCCAUACUUAUGUAAAGAGAAUCAAACUUCAAAUCUUGCAUCAGGUAACUGUUGGGGAGGGCUUCCUAGUCGCGGCAGUGCUUGAGGGAUUAGUCAAACUUGUAGGAACAGGAACACCAUGGUUAAAAAUAUAUUGAAGUGGUGAUACAUAUGUAUUGUAUAAUAUCAGUGGUAUGUUAUACUAAUGGCAUUGGAACCUAAACAUUCCAUUUUUUUUUUCAUUAUUGUUCUUCAUUAAUAAAGGAAAAAAGAGCUUUUUCCUUAUCAGGUUUCUGGUGAUCAUGGAAGUGAUAAUGAAAAGGUCAAGUAA